CCACGUCACGGAGUAUCUUGGCGCACUGGUCCCCUGCCAUGCCACGUUUCUCGUACGCUCGGUACGUGUCGCCCCGAACGAGUGGAGACUGCAUCGGCACCUUAUCCUUUCCCUGCAGGCUCGUCUGCUUCUUCCCAAUCCUUCAUUUCUAAUCACUUAAUCAGAGGAGAGUGAGGCGAGCUGGCCGGGCUGCUCUUCGUCGGGGACGUCGCCAUUUACUUGCCCGCGCCAACGGCCAACUACUCGCCGGGAUUCGCCGUGUGCCCAUGUACAGCCGCCUUCCAGAAGCCAUUCGAGGGGCGGCCCGCAACGCUCGCGUGGAGGUCCCGACCUAGGAGGUGGACGAGGCUGUGUGGCUCGCGGCUGAGCUGCUCUUAGCCUGGGUUGCCAUCGUCUCCGUGCGCCACGCUGACAGGAAGCUGGUCGCCGAGUCCCCGGGCAUUCGCCACGCACCCAGGUACUCCGACGCCUCCCCAAUAGUUGUCCGAGCAGCGGACCGCGACGCUCGCGCGAGUGUCCAAUGGCUCCGGUGUCCGAUGAGCGUGGCUGCCGGCCAUGGCCGUGGUCGUGUGCCACUGCCUCUCCCGCUGCCGCUAGAAUGACGGAGGCUCGUGGCCAAGAUCCGGGGAGAAGGAGCUCCAUGACGGCGAGCUCCUCUAGGAGCAGGGCGACCACGUACUCCAAGAGCACGACGACGACAAGCUUGAGGCUCCUUCGGGCGACCUUAACAAGGAAGAGGGUGGCAGCUGGAUGAGGGUUAAAAUCACACCGGAGUCACCGUGUUGUCCUCUGACGACACAGCCGGCAUCCCAUGAUUUUCAGGACGGCGGCGGCGCGGCAGCUGGACCUCCCUGCCAGCCUGCCCGGCCAAACUCCACAAGCUGCAGCUCACGGAUCCAAUCCAAGAAACGUCCUGCCAGCUAGUGCCAUGGUCCCCCCACGGAAGGAGCAGGAGGAAUGAGGAAGACGGACAGGAGGAGUUUGGUGCCAAUUCUACAGGCGUAGAGGAUUUUUCUUUGGACUAUUAUUAGGGCUGUUUGUAGUUAUUAAUAGAAUUAUUAAGGUAGAGAAAGGAGGACCAUUGGAUUAUAACGGACGGCCGAUUUUGCCUUCUACAACAUGUACAACAGAGGAGCCGAACCCAAUUUUCAGACCCCCCAGCCCUGACGUGGUCUCUCCCUUACCCAUGUUGCAACAACUGUGCUAUAGGCUGUAGCAUUGCCACCGAUGUUGAACUUGACGGGUAUGUGCUGCUCACUGGCAACUUGAGCACACGAGGCAGGUUCAUCGUGUCCGGGGACCUCCUCGUCGACGGCGCAGGAGGGUGGUGCUCGAGGAAUCACGCAAGUUUCUUUUCACAAAGCGUGUGCUCGAGAUGGAGGAUGGCAUCGUUUCAUACCUCAUCGUUUUAUGCGAGCAUUGGAUUGAAGCUCUUCAUGAGCUUCCUUCACCAAUUAGACCGAUGCUAUGUAAUUACUGGAGCUCUGAAGCUAUAGUUACGGGAUCCAGUCUUUUUAGACCCUUGACAUCACAUACCUCACAUGAUGUGUUAAUGUUGUUCUAUAUAUACCUAGCAUAGCAUUUUAACCAUGCUAUAAAAUUAAAUUUACCAUGCUACAAAGUAAACUUGCCAUGUUAGUUCACAUAAUGAAUCCUUUGUGCAAGGAGUUCUAGCGAAGCUUUAUACAAGGAUCUAUGGCAUGCUUGGGCUAGGCCGUUGAUCACAGUGCCUCACCAAGGUGAAAGUUUACUACUUUUCGCAUGUUUAUAUUGGAACAGGCAUGUUUAUAUUAGAACAGGUAUGUCUCACCGCCAUUGGUGUUUGCUCUUCUUGAUGCCCCAUAACCAAUGAAUGAAUUUGCUACACAACACAGACAGUAGCUAUUUGUGUUAUGGGACACUGCUUUGUUCUUGUGUUAAAAAAUGACAAUAUGACUUUGUUUAUGCGGAAUAAUCAUCCAGGUAUUUAAAGUUCAUCCACGUACAUAUUUAGAACUUGAUAUUCUCUAGUGUGGUCAUGUAUUAGUUGAAAAAUGAAUAUCCAUCAGAGGGUACCACCUUACAUACAGUGCUUCCAGCCUUACAGGCCUCACCAGAAGUCCCUUUGCCAAGCUUCACUGUGAUGACUAACUUACUACUUGACAAAUAUCUUUGCUAACUGAUAAAAGCAACAACUUAGGUACAUAAACUCAUUUUCACAUGUUAUGACAAACUGAUUUCUUCCAGCUGACAAAAAACCUAGAAAACAGAGUACUAAUACAUAGAGACGGUAUAAUUGUUAAGGCUACUUUACGAAUUAAUUUGGGAAUAGACUGAACAUAUCAGGAUAUACAUGAGUUGACUGCGAAGAAAAGAAAUCAUCAUCUACUAAUACUGUACUAAAUGAACAUUAUCCAUUCACAUCUCCAGUAUUGUACUAUUAUACAUGACAGAGAAUGACUAACAUUACUCGUUCUUCUCUUAAAGCUGCCUAGAAAAUACAGUCAGCAGAGAAGUUAGAAGGAUUUUGAGCACUAAACUCCAGUUAUCAAUACACUGGACUAUCUACCGAUCUCCAACCGGUUAAUUUAAGAAUCAUCACCUUUACCAAUAAGGGGUCAAUUGUCUGUAAGAUGUGAUUUGCUUGCAUGCAUUUCAUAGGUAAAUAUGUGCAUAAAAGUUAGGACUUGCCUACAUACCUGGAUAUUUACAUUCACAUAGACAAUAUAUCUUCAAUUCACAUGUAGGACACAAGAAUGUAUAGUCACAAACUCACAAUUCCAUGGCAGCAAAAAUAUUCAAUAAUCUGUGAACUCCAUAAACAAUGAUAUUAUAGAUCUCUUGUUUUGUUGAUAUAUUGACAUAUAGAAGGAGAUGUAGUCUACAGGAGAGAAGCAACCAGCAAUGGUGUUAAUGUCACCUCUCCAUAGUACCAUCGGUCCAAAGGCACUCAAGUAAAAAUCAAAACACAAAAACGACAAAUGGCACUGGGAGUUUGGAGCCCACCCAUCUGAUUUAGAUGAUCUGGGAAAGAGCAAUGAUUUUGCCCUCUUGUGGAUUUAAAAUACAAUUAGAAAAGUUCACUGAACUAAGGAAUGGGUGUUUUAAGCUCACCCAACUUCCUUAGUUUUGAAAAUGAACAAAUCCCUUUCAAAACAUAAUUUAAUACAUCAUAUCUAUGCAGACAUUGCCAAUUCAAUUUUCUGGUACGCAAUAGUUAAAACAUAGGAACUUCUAGUACAACAUAUAUAUACGCAGGAGUAUAUAUCAGAAAGCAUGGUAGAGUUCUUUUGUUAUUAAAAUGCUCCCUCUUGUGAGUUUAAUAGCAGUUUAGGAUAAAAUCCUGGGUCGCUACACCAGUCACUAAAGUUGAGCGUUGGAUGGCUUCAAAGAUCCAGCUGAUGGUGUUAAACUGAUGAUGCACAGUCAGCUUCCUCGUCAGGACAAAGCUUACACGCAGCCCAGGCCAAUUGGGCUGAUCAGAAAGUCAAAAGAAAUCGAAACCCACCCUAUUAGACUUCCUACACACAAGCACUGACACUUCAAACACACACGCGCGCCACCUGUAUUAUAGGUGUGCUAAUGCCUAAAGUGCCAGAACAAAUCAUGCUCCUAUGCACAUCACAACAGACAUGCGUAAACACAUUACAAAUUUCUGAAGAAAAGGGUCGGGGUGUCACAAGGCCACAUGAUUUUAAUAGGAAAGACUUCUGGUCAUGUGUCAUCUAAAAGUAUAUGCAUGCAAGGACCUUUUCUCUCUUGAUCUUGGAAACAUCUACCUGCCUGGAAAGAUGCUAGAAGCAUGAUGCAGACCAGCGGCAAAGUAUUUUUCCUCCUAAGAAGCUACUCCCUCCGUUCCAAAAUAGAUAACUCAACUUUGUAUUAAAGUUAGUACAAAGUUGAGUCAUCUAUUUUGGAAUGGAGGGAGUACAUAGAGAGAGCAGUGAGCCAGUGAUCCUCACCUAGCUAGUGCGUGCGCGCGCCCACACACACAUCAAGCCAACACACCAUACACACAGCAGCAGCACGCAAGCAACAAACACGUAUGUGGCGCAACGCACACGGAGCCAAAGACACAACCAAUAAAGCAUGGAGCAGACGGUCAUGCUUGCCGUCGAGCCGCUCACACUAAAAGGGAUCAAAGAGUAGGACAUUUCUAUUCGUAAACCUUCUCAUCGUAGGGAGUAAUUAUCAAACAGAGAAACAAAAGGAAAAGAAAAGCAAGAAGUUCCCUUCCUCCAUCUGUUUUUUAUUUUCUUUAACUUAUAUACAUCAGACCAACACACAAGCACUUUAUAAAAACAUAAUUCCCAAUUCAAGAACACAGUUGAAUAUUAGAGCACCACAUACUACUCUUCGCAGAGUAAAACCGGGCAAGCCAAGUCAUGAUUAUGCUAUUAGUCAGUAGGUACAUUACACAGCUUGUUCAUGCGAAGAACAUCUGCUAUUAGAUUCUUAUAGCCACACUUCAGGUUUCUAUUUUCUAAAUAAAAAUAAGUGAUCUCACUACAAUAAAAAAUAAACACAUAUAUAGC